rnacentral:tRNA from 1 species
GCGCCAUUAGCUCAGCUGGUAGAGCAGUGGACUCUUAAUCCAUUGGUCCGGGGUUCGAGCCCCUGAUGGCGCA